UUCACCAGACUCCAUGGGGAUGUCACCUAGAUUCUAGGGGAGGAAAUCCAGACCUCCAUCUCUCAGUGGAGGAGUGCGAGGCACAUUAUAUACACGGCAUAUAGAAUGGGAAAAACUCAUAGAUGUGUCCAUCUCUGGAAAAUACAAUCUACUGCACUAUCCAACAUGGAAUCUUGCUGUUGCAUCAAGAUUCCCUGACAUUGCACUUCCAGUGAAGCUUAGUUCUAGAAUGACUCCUGUUCAGAGAUUGUCAGAUGGAGGUAGGAGAAUAUGUGCAGGAGCAGGACGGUGGCUAGAAACAAAUUGCAACGUGCAAUCAUCUGAGCGAGGGGCAAUCAUCUGAGCGAGGGGAUGCAACAGAUAUUAGACAGUAAUUUCUAAAACUGAGUCUUGAGAGAUCUGCAGUUUCUGCCUCCGGGUGUUAGAAAUAUUAUCUGUUGGCACCCAGAUGCCAUGCUUUGAGAAGCUCAAGCCAGGUGGAAAGGCUACAUGAGGAACUAAGGCACUUUGGUCAAUAGAUCCCCCUGAGCUUCCAGUCAACAACUGCCAGCAUGUCAGUGAGCCAGCUUAGCAGUUCCACGCCAGUGAAGUCCCACAUGAUUCAGCCCCAUCCAACACCACAUGGAGCAGAAGAACCAUCCAACUGAGCCCAUCAGCCCACAGAAUUGUGAAAUACAAUAAAAGGUUGCUGUUAUU